GUACGGAUUCUGGGCGUAAGCGUGCGUAGGCGGUUAUUAAGUCAGAUGUGAAAGCCCCGGGCUUAACCUGGGAACUGCAUUUGAUACUGGGUAACUAGAGUUGAGUAGAGGAGAGGGGAAUUUCAGGUGUAGCGGUGAAAUGCGUAGAGAUCUGAAGGAACACCAGUGGCGAAGGCGCCUCUCUGGACUCAAACUGACGCUGAGGUACGAAAGCGUGGGUAGCAAACAGGAUUAGAUACCCUGGUAGUCCACGCCGUAAACGAUGUCAACUAGCCGUUGGUCUUAUUCGUAAGAUUAGUGGCGCAGCUAACGCAUUAAGUUGACCGCCUGGGGAGUACGGCCGCAAGGUUAAAACUCAAAUGAAUUGACGGGGGCCCGCACAAGCGGUGGAGCAUGUGGUUUAAUUCGAUGCAACGCGAAGAACCUUACCUACCCUUGACAUCCAUAGAAUCA
rnacentral:rRNA from 1 species